rnacentral:lncRNA from 1 species
GGGGAAUGGAGGACAGGGUCACCCACACGUCACCGUCCCUGUGCCAUUCCCUAGUGGCAGGGCCUGGGCCUCCAAACCACCUCCUGGAGGGCUGCCCACACCCGGGGGACCUCGGCACGAGAGGACAUGGCGACCGAGCUCCUCGCCCCCCGGGGCUGUUUGUCACCGCGGCUGGCACUGCCCGCCCUGCCCGCCCUCCACCCCCGGCCUCAGAACCAGCCGGGCGCCGUGGAGAGGCCGGUUCCCGGCUCUGAACCAGAGACCCUGACGGGCCCCUGGAGACCGGGGCUCCUCCUGCUACGUCCACCCCGCCUUGGCAGGAGCCUGGACGGUGCGCAGGGACGGGCUGACUCAUCUGCAGCCGGUGGCCACUGGUGACCUGGGCCAGCAGGACAUUCACCAGGGCCCUUGCCCUCACCGUAGGAGCCCGCUGAAUGAGGAGCUGCCCCUCAGCAGGUGGGAGGACCUGGCCAUCUGGGCAGGACGCUGCUGAGUCACCCGGAUUAAAUCAGCCGUGAUUCCCGGGCUCCAGAG